rnacentral:rRNA from 1 species
CCUACGGGAGGCUGCAGUAGGGAAUCUUCCACAAUGGGCGAAAGCCUGAUGGAGCAACGCCGCGUGGGUGAAGAAGGUCUUCGGAUCGUAAAACCCUGUCAUGUGGGAGCAAAUUAAAAAGAUAGUACCACAAGAGGAAGAGACGGCUAACUCUGUGCCAGCAGCCGCGGUAAUACAGAGGUCUCAAGCGUUGUUCGGAAUCACUGGGCGUAAAGCGUGCGUAGGCUGUUUCGUAAGUCGUGUGUGAAAGGCGCGGGCUCAACCCGCGGACGGCACAUGAUACUGCGAGACUAGAGUAAUGGAGGGGGAACCGGAAUUCUCGGUGUAGCAGUGAAAUGCGUAGAUAUCGAGAGGAACACUCGUGGCGAAGGCGGGUUCCUGGACAUUAACUGACGCUGAGGCACGAAGGCCAGGGGAGCGAAAGGGAUUAGAUACCCCUGUAGUC